GAGGCAGGACAUCGCUGCGGCCGGUGAUAGGCUGAAGCUCCGUGUGACGUGCCGGGCUAACAGGAAGUAAGAAGAAUACAGUCCGGGGACCGAACACCUGUACCGGAGCUCCGGGGGCUCGUUGGCAGGAUACAGCCAGCUGGAUGGGUGAAGUAUGUGUACAGGAAAUAGAAGGCCAGUGAGGCAAUGGAAUAGAAGAGCAAUGUGGUAACCAGAACGGCAAAAUACCAGCGUUUGUCUUUAGAUGCACCGAUUGUAACCCCUUGCGGGCUUAUAGAUGUAUCAUAUGCUGAAUAAAUGCGAAUCAUAGUCACGGAAUAACUUAAAAACAGACAUUCCAGAGGCGAUCACAUGAUCCUGUAAAUGUGUGAGCAAAUGCUGUUAUCAGUACCAGCUGGAUGAGAACAAAAGAGAACCCACCACACACGCCAACAUAAUGCCAUACUGCAAAGACAGAUGCCAAGAGUCAUUCUAAGGUGGAAUCAACCUCAUUAAUACAAUUUGGGGUACGUUCACACAGACAGGAUUUACUGCAUAUUUUGCUGCAUAUUUUCUGCAGCUAAUUUUUCUUCCCAUUGACUUCAACGACUUCAGAAAAUAUGCAACAGAUACUGUACGUGUGAAUGCACCCUUCAAGGACAUUCAUAUUUACAAAUAAAUGCUAU